AUUGAACGCUGGCGGGAGGCCUAACACAUGCAAGUCGAACGAGCGGCGGACGGGUGAGUAAUGUACGGGACACUGCCUGAUGGAGGGGGAUACCUACUGGUAACGGUAGCUACUACCGCAUACCAUCAGAUGUGCCCAGAUGGGAUUAGCUUGUGGGUGGGGUAACGUCUCACCAAGGCGACGAUCCGUAGCUGGUCUGAGAGGAGGACCAGCCACACUGGAACUGAGACACGGUCCAGAAUCCUACGGGAGGCAGCAGUGGGGAAUAUUGGACAAUGGGCGAAAGCCUGAUGCAGCCAUGCCGCGUGUAUGAAGAAGGCCUUCGGGUUGUAAAGUACUUUCAGCAGGGAGGCGUUACCCGCAGAAUAAGCACCGGCUAACUCCGUGCCAGCAGCCGCGGUAAUUC
rnacentral:rRNA from 1 species